AGAGUUUGAUCCUGGCUCAGGACGAACGCUGGCGGCGCGCCUAACACAUGCAAGUCGAACGGAGCUGAGAGGAGCUUGCUUUUCUCAGCUUAGUGGCGAACGGGUGAGUAACGCGUGAGUAACCUGCCCUGGAGUGGGGGACAACAGUUGGAAACGACUGCUAAUACCGCAUAAGCCCACGGUACCGCAUGGUACUGAGGGAAAAGGAUUUAUUCGCUUUAGGAUGGACUCGCGUCCAAUUAGCUAGUUGGUGAGGUAACGGCCCACCAAGGCGACGAUUGGUAGCCGGACUGAGAGGUUGAACGGCCACAUUGGGACUGAGACACGGCCCAGACUCCUACGGGAGGCAGCAGUGGGGGAUAUUGCACAAUGGGGGAAACCCUGAUGCAGCGACGCCGCGUGGAGGAAGAAGGUUUUCGGAUUGUAAACUCCUGUCGUUAGGGACGAUAAUGACGGUACCUAACAAGAAAGCACCGGCUAACUACGUGCCAGCAGCCGCGGUAAAACGUAGGGUGCAAGCGUUGUCCGGAAUUACUGGGUGUAAAGGGAGCGCAGGCGGGAAGACAAGUUGGAAGUGAAAUCCAUGGGCUCAACCCAUGAACUGCUUUCAAAACUGUUUUUCUUGAGUAGUGCAGAGGUAGGUGGAAUUCCCGGUGUAGCGGUGGAAUGCGUAGAUAUCGGGAGGAACACCAGUGGCGAAGGCGGUCUACUGGGCACCAACUGACGCUGAGGCUCGAAAGCAUGGGUAGCAAACAGGAUUAGAUACCCUGGUAGUCCAUGCCGUAAACGAUGAUUACUAGGUGUUGGAGGAUUGACCCCUUCAGUGCCGCAGUUAACACAAUAAGUAAUCCACCUGGGGAGUACGACCGCAAGGUUGAAACUCAAAGGAAU
rnacentral:rRNA from 1 species